AGGAGUGGCCAGGUAGUAUAAUUAUGAUGGAAUCAAAAAUCUACAGAGGAUCAGAGAGAUGCGGACACCUCUUUCUGAAUUCCUGACUAAUAUUACUUCCAGGUCUGAGUGCGAUUGUCUGAAAUGGAGAGAGAGAGGGUUUUCUUACAGUGAUUGGACUAGAGGCAGUGUCCAAUCUAAUGCCUGCUGAAAUUAUUGCAAAAACUUCCCAUUGCUUCAUUUGGUAUGGAAAAAUCAGCCUUAUGUACAUUUGCAUGCUUUCCAAAUGUGGCAUUUCCUUACAAAAUUUCCUUGGAGGAAUGCCCAGGAAGGACAGCAUUUGCUCUUGGACAACUGACAGGCCAAUAUCUUGCUAUACUGCAAAGCUUGAAACAGGAGUUUUGGAGAGCUGGAAAGAGGAAUUUCUAGGCUUGCUUUUUUGAGUUGACCCAUGUAAUUCACUUAGGGCUUCAGCAUGUAAGUAAUUAUGGUCACUCCAAUGUCGAGUCAAAAUAUUUUAUCUCACGCUGUCUCCUACUCUAUGGAUGUUCCUUUGUAUGCAGGAACACGUGGAUAUUUAUAUUUAUUAUUUAUUUAUACUACAUGUAGUAUUAUGCCUGAACAAUAUGAAAGUAAACACUUUUAAAUCUUAAAGUUCACGAAACUCAUGUUAAUGCAAUAAGAUAGAAUUACUAAGUGCUUGUUAGUCAAUAAAUUACUAAACCACCUUUAGUAUGUGAUGUAU
rnacentral:lncRNA from 1 species